rnacentral:lncRNA from 10 species
GGGUGAGCUGAGGAUCCUGUCUGCGUGAGCACUGCUCCUGGUACCCUGCACACCUCCACCUUUGCCAUUCUCACGUAGAAUCAUGGAGGUGUGCCAGCUGAGGAUCUGAGAGUUUCAGUCACUUCCCCAAGGGCACAUAGCGAGUAGGUGGACUCCAGAAUCUUCCGCAGAUUGUACUGUUCCUUCUGUGAAUAGUGUUUAUCUUUGUUCCUCCCUUUCCCAUGAGUUUUGGAUAGAGACUAUCACCCAUAUUGAGGAGGAUUUGGGUAUUUGAUUUACCGACACAUGCAUGUUGUGACCCCACAGAACCUUCUGGUGGGUGCCUGGAGUUACGAAGAGAGGAGCUGCCAUUUUCUUUGCCCCGAGGAGCUGGCUCGGUGACCUCCUUCAGUCAUGGAAAGUCCCUUCCCCAGAUAGAGUCCAGCAUUCCACUGGCUUCUCCUGCUGCUAAAAUAAAACCGGGCGAAUCCCUCAGUAAACCGUGGAGCAUAAAGAGGUGAUGUGGGCACAGAACUGAGCUGUGUGAAUGGGAGGCCAAAUAAGCUCUGCUGAAUUUGCUCUGGCAGCCCAAGUCCUUAAGGUGAGGCCUGUCUGGCUGCUGCUGCUGUUACCAGUCUUUUAGUAUGGUUAGUCAUUUCUCUUGUUCCUGCUGCUGUUAAAAGAGCUUUUCCUGUUUUUCCUUCUGCCUUGAAGCUGGCCAGACAUCUGUGGAGUGACAGGGCCUUUCCAAGAAGGCAGAGUCAGAGUGAUGAGGUCCACACAGGUCAGUGAGAUGAAGACACGAAGGAAUAUGUAAGCACCCAGGACUCGGUCCCAGUGACAGUUACUUGUUAAGAGGAAUGUGUGACAAACCCCACUCCUGAGCCCUUCUGA